GUCCCUGUCGAUUAGUGGUCAAAUCAUCACGUUGUGGCUGUAUAUCUGCAACUCCGUGAAGCCGGGAGCUCGAAUCUCCCCAGGGACA